rnacentral:lncRNA from 1 species
AAAACUUACCUCAACAGCUUGAAAGUCAAGCCUAAAGAGAAUCCUUCUGAAGGUAUGCUCAUUAUUGAAACUAAUAUUUCAAUCAUUCAUUCUACUUCUUGGAUUUUAGAUUCUGCUGCAACCACACAUAUUUAUAUGUCAAUGUAAGAUCUAAAAAGAAGUAGAAGACUUAAACAAGGAGAAGUGUCUUUUAGAGUGGGAAAUUG